rnacentral:rRNA from 1 species
UACAGAGGUCUCAAGCGUUGUUCGGAUUCAUUGGGCGUAAAGCGCGUGUAGGCGGCCCACUAAGUCUGAUGUGAAAGCCCGGGGCUCACCCCCGGAAGUGCAUUGGAAACUGGUGGACUCGAGUCCCGGAGAGGAGAGUGGAAUUCCUGGUGUAGCGGUGAAAUGCGCAGAUAUCAGGAGGAACACCGAUGGCGAAGGCAGGUCUCUGGGCAUUAACUGACGCUGAGGAGCGAAAGCAUGGGGAGCGAACAGG